UGGGGUGCAGCUCAGUUGGUAGAGUGCUUGCUCACCAUGCACAAGGCCCUGGGUUUAAUCCCCAGCACCACAC
rnacentral:tRNA from 1 species